rnacentral:rRNA from 1 species
UGAGGAAUAUUGGUCAAUGGCCGGAAGGCUGAACCAGCCAAGUCGCGUGAGGGAAUAAGGCCCUACGGGUCGUAAACCUCUUUGUCGGGGAGCAAUGGGUGACUUGCGAGUCAUCAGGGAGAGUACCCGAAGAAAAAGCAUCGGCUAACUCCGUGCC